UACAAUGGCGCAUACAGAGGGCAGCGAACUUGCGAGAGUGAGCGAAUCCCAAAAAGUGCGUCGUAGUCCGGAUUGGAGUCUGCAACUCGACUCCAUGAAGUCGGAAUCGCUAGUAAUCGUAGAUCAGAAUGCUACGGUGAAUACGUUCCCGGGCCUUGUACACACCGCCCGUCACACCAGGGGAGUGGGCUGCAAAAGAAGUGGGUAGUUUAACCUUCGGGAGGACGCUCACCACUUUGUGGUUCAUGACUGGGGUGAAGUCGUAACAAGGUAGCCCUAGGGGAACCUGGGGCUGGAUCACCUCCUUAUACGAAGAUA
rnacentral:rRNA from 1 species